AAAUUUGUUUCCAUCUAGAAAGAGGUAAAGUAGAUCAGUCAUGUUGAACACAGAUGGUGGUAAUCGCCCAUUGAAGUUGUUGUUGGACAACUUCAAAAACCACAACGAGGAGCCUACUGUUGGCAAAUUAUGCUCAAGCAGUUCACAAGACAUAUGAUUGUUGGAAAGAUCCAAGUAUCCGAGAGAGCUCAUAUUCCCAAAACAAGGAGGAAUGCAACCUGUGAGGCUAUUGUUAGCCAUCAAGAAGUUCUUUAACCGUGGAAAAAUUGAACAUAUGUUCCUUGCAAUUUGACCAUGUAUGGUGUUGCCAGACAUAUCUAUUGUAUGAAGAUUGGGUGUUGGAUGUUGUGGCAGCUGCAAAGGACCUAUAAAUGAGGUGUCUCUCAAAUAUAGUCGAUUUAACUUUGUAUUAUUCUCAAACAGCCAAGACGGGAAAGGUUCUCCAAUGAAUUUGUUGUGGGAUAGAUCAACAAACACCAAAUCAUGUUGGCUAUGCAGGAAGUUUGGAAAUCUAGCUUUGAGUGGUUUUGAAGUACAGUUUGCAGCACUGAAGUAAAGAAGCUGUAACUUGGGAGCUGAAGGCUGAAAACUGGGUGCAGCUAUUAGCUCAUUGUUAUCGCAUACAAUGAACUUGAGGUUGGAGAGGUUCAUAAAUGAACCAAAUGAUAUUGGAACUUGAAAGUAGUUAUUUGAAACUUUGAGGUAUCUGAGCUGCGUAAGAUGGGAAAGGUGACUAGAGGCAAUAUUCCCCUUCAAUUGGUUGUCAGAUAAAUCCAAGAUUUGUAGAGAUGAUAGAUUUCCCAAACAAUGAGGGAGUGAGCCCUUUAGAUUGUUUCCUGAGAUAAGUAGUUGUUCAAGAUUCUUCAGAUUCUUCAGUUCACACCAGCCUGUAGAAUAUAUUAAUAUAUUCAUGUUAAGGGAAUAAUAAUAUAUCAAUUAUGCAAGUGCUUAGUGAGGUUUUAAAGUUUUAGUUGAUUUUUGUUUCAAUAGCUAGGUCAGUUCUAGAUUAUAUUUAAACAACUUUGUUUGUUAGUUUUUUUAGAGAUUAAUUAUCUAGAUUAUUGAUAUUCAAAAUUUUUUUAAUUCAAAUUUUUUUCUAUAAUUUAAGACUGGGAAGUUUUAGAGAUUAAGAAACUCUAGAUUUUUGGUCAAGAAGGAUAGAGUGGAAGUAUCCAUUUUGUGUAUUGUAAUAUAAUCAUCUGUUAAAUAGAAGGAAAACAGAGAAAUAAAUGAGAGGAGAAUGAUUUUGUUAUUUCUUGUGUGCGUAAUCCUCCUACCAUUAUAUAUAUACUUCCCCACAUGCAUUACACGAUUUAUUAUAUUGUUAACUAACUCUACCCGACUCUUAACAACUUCUAACACGUGUCCAUGCAUCUGCUAGUUACCCUAAAUUUAAGACUGAGAAAUUUUAGAUUGAGAAACUCUAGAUUUUAUCCUUUUCUAUAUGUAACAUUAGGAGUAAACUUCUAACAUAUCACCUCCAUUCCUUUAAUAAAAUUUUAAAAAUUGAACAAAAGUUAAUGGUUAAUACACAUCUAUUUAUUAGACAAGUUCACUAAAAAAUAAAUUAAGCCUCACUAAGGAAUGCCAUUCAAGAUAGGAAUGAUUUACAACUUUAUCAUUAAUACUAGUUGAUCCUGUCAACAUGUUUUUGAUAAAUAUAGAGAUUUGAGAGUUGAAAACCCACUUAAAGAUGAUAAAACACUGUCAUUAAAUUUACUGUAACUCAGAUCAAGUUCUUUCAAAUUCCUCAACCCUCAAGCUAAUACUUGAAAACAUGAAAGAAAAUUAUGGGAAACAAAGAAAUUAACAGAUAUAUACAGAUUUAUAUAUCAAUCAUCCCAAUAUCCAUAAAGAUUCAAUGUAAAGUUACUUGAAAUAUAAUUAACUUUAUGUGUUAACUAAAAGAAAAUUGAAAGCAUAGAACCUUGGUUCUUGAAGCCACCAACUAAUUGGUUGAAGCUUAAGUCGAGAAUCUCCAGUUCUUUGAAAGGCAGAAACAAAGACGCAUUGAGAUACAAGUACUCUUCGACUGCAUUGAGACCCAAGUCCUCAUAAUUUACACCUGAAAGAUGUAGUUCGAUCACUCGGUUUGUGGUGUUGUCACACACAACCCUAUGCGGAUCCCAGUCACAGCAAUUAAAAUACUCUUUAUCCCAACCUUCUAGCUGAUCAUAGGACCCAGCUGCACGUGCAUGAUUGAACCAAGCUUUUAUCUCUAAGAGACUAACUCUCUCUUCCUCCACACAACAAUGGCUCCGGUCGUUGACGAAGGACAGUGCCAUGAGGAGCAUCCACACCCACAUUUCCCUCAUCUUCAUAACGCUCCACUUGACCACAUACAAAAGCAAGCAAGCAAGCUGUCUCUUAUAUACAAUUUAAUUUGUCCUCUUCAUGCGUUUGAUCAUAGGAUUUUCCCGUGAUAAACUUUUAGACUUUGGUGGUCUCCUCACGAUCUUUUUUCAGAGAAAUCUGCUUCUCAUUUGUAGUUUGCCAUCUUCCUACUGUCGCACUAGCUUUAAUGAUAUGUCCACUUGAUUAUUAUAAAAGAAAAAUAAAAAUACUCCACGUCCACUAUUGUCAGCUUUCGAGAACGCAUGCAGGACCCAGUUUAAUCUCAAUAUGGAUUUUUAUAAGCAAAUCUUAGAGAAACAGUUUCCUGCAUAAUUACUAGAAUUUUUUGGUUUGAUUUAAUUUGAUAUUAAUGAUUUUUCACCUUUUGUCUGAGAUCAAGUACCUAAUGAAACCUUGAAUGGAGCACCCAUUUGUACGCAUAUGCUUGACUUGAGGUCUGCCAUUUUGAUUUUAAAAUACCAUCAAGCAGUAAUUUCUUGGCGGUUUCCUUAUAGAAACUGGUGGUCUCCUCACGACCUUUUAAUUUAAAAAAAAACUCUUGUCGGAGCAUGAUUUAAAAGCUAGGAUUCAACCAGUAUCAGGGAAUGACUGUCAUCUUUUAAAGAAAUUUGAUCACCCACUUUCACUUGUUUUUCGUUGUGGACCUCCGUUGCGAAGUUGCAGUGAAACAAACUCGCAAUUGCAGCAGGUGCCUAAUAAUGAACAAGAAGAUAAUGGUUUCAUAGAUAAUAUUGGGGGAGCAAAUGAGCAAUUAUAAUAUUGGGGGGGAGCAAUUAUAUUGGGGGAGGGCCGGACCAAUUAUAUUGGGGGCCUUUAAAUUGAAAUCGUAAAAUCGGUCCUAAUAUCGUGAUUUUGCGCGAUAUCAUCCGUUUUUUGCGAUUUUACCUGAUUUCAACCUGAUUUUAUCCAUUUUCGAUUUUUUUAACCGAUUCAACUCGUAAUGCAUGUUUUGACUCGUAAAAUCGUACGAUUUUACGAGUCACGCGAUUUUGACAACCUUGGUGACGAUGGUGGAACUGAUGCGGUUGCAUAGCAGCACCAACCAGUACUUUAAUUUCCUAAUGAUUUCCUUGCGGAAGAAAUUAUGGCAUGUUGGAAAACGAUGCCACCCUAACAAUCCAAGAGCUCAAAUUCAACUUGAAUAAAAGCAUGAUAAAUGGAUAAUUUAGAGGAGAAAGGAUCCAAGAACAUCAUGAAACAGGGGAUUGUUAUAUUUUGUUACCCUAACAAUCCAAGAGCUCAAAUUCAACUUGAAUAAAAGCAUGAUAAUUUAGUGGAGAAAGGACCAAGAACAUCAUGAAACAGGGGAUUGUUCUAUUUUGUUAUGUAACAAUCUCAACAGCUAAUUAAGAGGUUAGAUUGUAGGGUCUAAUUUCAAAUGCAAGACUCUAUUGAUUCUCAUCAUUAUAGUAAUAAAACCAUGUGCAUUUUUAUUAAAUUAAGAGGAAACACAAAAUUAAACAAGAAAAUCUUCAGAGUUCAGAAAUAAAUCUAACAUUGCCGAACAGACUGUGAGCAAACCCAGAUUUGGUGGAAGAUAGAAAUAUGAAGAGAGAGCAGAAAUCUUAGAUAAUUCUAUGAAGAGAGAGCAGAAAUCUUAGAUAACAGUUUGUAGAAUAUUGUUGUUUGUUAUGUGAGUUUGGGCAACCAUAGGUCCUAUUUAUAACACGCUUUGUCCAUUUCCAUGACUUUUAUCUGCGUACCUGGUGCCGAUUCUAUGUUUUGAGAUGUUUUCUUUAUUUCAUUUCUUUUUUUAAUAGUUUUGGAUUCGAAUAUUAUUUCAUUUAUUUGUUUAGCCUUAGGUGUAUUUGGGAAUGUGUUUUUCGUUGUUUUUCAAAGUAGUUUUCACUUGGAAAUGUAUCAACAUGAUAUUGUUUGGCCUUAGGGUAUGUUUAGUAGUGUGGUUAGAUGUCUUAAUACGAACCUUGAAAACAUGGUCAAAACAAUAUUUUAUAAAAAUUUGAUUUUUUAUUAAAAUUAUUUUUUAUAUAUUUUUAGUUAGUUAUAAUGUAUUAAUAUCAAAAAUAAAUUUUAGAAAAUAAAAAAUAUAUUAUUUUGAUAUAUAUUCGAGCAAAAAUAUAUUUUAAAAAACAACCCUUAUUACAAUAAUGGUGAUUUCCUUAUGCAUACUAGCGGUCUUCAUUAAUAUUUCAAAAAAUCAUCAUUAAACCUGGUUUGGGGUUGACUAGGAAUAAGGCUGGGGUCAUGAUUUUUUUUAUUAGGUCACUAGAUUAACUUAGAUCAACUCCAAUAUAUAUAUAUAUAUAUAUAUUCAAGUCAAGCUAAGCAUUAACCGAGUCACUUAGAUUUUUCCCUUUUUCAAUUUUUUUAAACUUGUCCCGGUUUUGAUCCUCAAUCAAAUGGGUUUCAUCUUGAUUUAUCUAUAUGUUAAAUUACUUGAUUAACUAAAUUAAUUCUGUAAUAUUGAAUUAUUUGAUGAAAACAUUAUCUAAAACAUGAUUAAUCUUACUUUUAAUAUUAAAAAUUAUGUUUCAACAUAAACUCUUUAAUGUAAAAAUUUAACAUAAUUAAAAUAAAUAGUGAUUACCGUUUCAGCAAUUGAUUUGAUCUUGGCCUUACAAUUAUUUUCAUUAGUCUGUUAAUGUUUUUCUUCAAGCUUAUGGAAAGGGAGGUUUCUCCAACUUGUUGUGUAAGCUCCUUUGCUUUUUGUUUUUCAUAGACUUGGGAAGUCAUUUGUCUCUUAUAACACAAUAAUUGAUGUGUGAAACAACAUCGUUUUAUAUGGAAAAAAAAUAAAGAGUUAACCGAGUAUUUAUUCAAGUCAUGCCAAUCAUUAACCGAGUCAUUUGGAUUUUUUUUCCUUUUUUAUUUUGUAAACUCGACCUUGUUUUGGGCUCCGUUUGUUUGCAGGAAAGUGGUUUCCUUUUGGAAAGUGAAUUCCGGGGAAAGUGAAUUUCUGAAAAGUGAAUUCCGGGAAAGUAUUUUCCGAUGUUUGGUAGUGUUAUGGAAAAUGAACUGGAAAAUAAUUUAUUAAUGAAUUAAAUUUUUUUUCAAGUUUAUCUAAUAUAUAUAAAAUAUUUAAUCACUUACAAUUGUCAUAACCCAAUUUUUGACCCUUUUUUAUUUUUAUUAUUUUAAAAAAAAAGAUGAUGAAAAAUAAAAAUAAAAUAAAUGAAGAAUGAAUUAAAAUUUGGGUUAAGGGCAACAUGAUUGGAAGUUUAAAGAUUUAAUUAAACUCUUGACUAGUUUAAUUAAUUAAAUCAAGGUUUUAAUUGGAGAAUUGAUUUAAUUAAAAUUUAGAUUAUUUUAAUUAAUGAAAUCAAGAGUUUAAUUGAAGAAUUAAUGAGUUUGAGGACUUAAUUAUACUUUGAUUUAAUCAAAAAUCCAGGACUGUUGUGUAAAUGGCGCUAUAACUCAAGGAUUCAAUUGAAUUUAAUCCAAGGGCACAAUUAGAAAUCAAUUAUUUCUGAUUAGGGUCCCAAUUGUUAAGUUUACACUGUCUAGGGACUAAAUUGAAAAACAGCCAUGCCCAAGGACACAACGGCGCCGUUUUGGAAGCAUUGUUCAUCGUCUCCUACGCUUGCGCGGAUGAAGCCUUGUUCAACAGGGAAAUCUGCUGCAACAAAUCCGGUCAUGGACCAUAUCUCUUGCCCACGAUCUCGUUCGUGGAUUCCAUAACAGUCCUGCAAAUGUAGGACUGGUUGAGGGGAAGCUUCUCUAUAAAAGGGGGGACGCAAGCACACCAGGAAAAAAAACCCAUCAUAAACAGAAGAAAAACUCGGGGAAGAGGCCAGCAACCAAAAACCAGGAACGAGUGACCGAAGACCAGAACGAAACAGAGGCAGAAGACGCAAGAGGAGGAAGAACAACAGGUGACGAACAGAGAGGAGAGGAAUUAAAGGGAGCCGAAAAUCAAAGAAAAAACCCAGAAUAACAGAGAAGCAAACGAAACAGAACCAGAAGAGUAGAGGAAAAGCAGAAACAUAAAGCCUGCCAAUCAUCGUCUUCACCACAGCACCUGAACCAGCAAAACAGAGGAAGAAGGGCAGGGGAAACAGGCCAAGAACCAUAAAAAAUGGAGGACGAACAGUGACAAUAAAAAAAAGAACCACCCGAGAGAACCGGCUUCGUCUUCAUCUUCAGGAGCAGCAGACCACAUGUAAUCUUCCCUUUGCAUUUUAAUUCACUGCUACAAUAGCAGUGAAUUAUAAUUCACUUGCUACUGUAGCAAGUAAAUAAUAAUUCAUUGGCCCAGCUGUAUUCUCAUUGAACAGCUGAGGGUAUGUAGAAAAAAGGAAAGUGUUUUUUUUUCUUUACAUAAGAAAAACAUUUCCCUUUAGCAACGUUAUUAUUUUUAGGUUGACUGGAAUUCAUUUUUCUUUGAUUAUUUUCCCUUUCUUGUCAUCAAACAUAGAAAAAGCAGGAAAGUAAAUUCCAAGAAUUCACUUUACUGCAAUCAAACACGGCCUUGAUCCUCAAUCAAACGGGUCUCAUCUCGAUUUUAUAAAAACUAUCCAAUGAUGUUGAUUCGAGGAUGUUCACAAGCUUUUCGCUGUUGGAAGUUUGCAAGCGAAUCUCGUUUUUACCAUCCAAAAAAACUUCUUUUGUACAUCUUCUCACAUGUCAAGGCACAUUUUGAUUAGGGAGACCGUAUAACUUUAUUUCGUUCAAUUUAUGCUGUUUGACAUAUAAAUAUUGUUCAAUGUAAAUCAACUUUUCAUUGUUUUCAAAAAAAUUUCACCUAGUUUAAAUCGAAACAAAUGCUUGCCAGUAGUUAAUAUUAAUUGAGAUAUGUGUUUGGGAGUGUGAAGUGAAGUGAUUAUAUUUUAUUUAAAAAUAAAAAUAAAAUUUUUUUGACACGCAACCGCCGCGAUUAAGUAAAAAAAAAAAAUAGCGCGAAAAGUGCCAAAGGCCCAAAUGUACGCCAAUUUGCAAUGGCAAGUCCCGUAAUUAUUUCAAAAUCAAAUGUGAAAAAUUGAAAGUCACAAGAAGGCAUGAAAAUAUCCUCUUAUUUGAACUUUUAUCUCGUUUAUAUCCUUUUACUCUUUUCUUCAUGUAUAGACAUGGAAAGUCAUGUUCUGAUUUGUUCCUGUGGAAUCAAAAAAUUUCUUCCUCAAUUUUUUUUAUGGAAUGAAGUGAUUUCCCGGUAGCUUCACCAUCCACUUGCAAUUUAUAUAUAUAUAUAUAUAUAUAUAUAUAUAUAUAACUGCCAAAGAAAAAAAUGCAUUGAUUAAAAUAUUGAUGUGUUUGAAUGAAGAAAGUCAGGGCAGAGAUGACCAACAAAAACCACCGUGUGGGCCAAUAAAAUGAAAAUAAAAGACAAUAUCAAUGGCUUGCAAUAAAACAGUGUUUGUUUUAUGUUAAAUUACUUGAUUAACUAAACUUAAUCUUGUAAUAUUGAAUUAUUUGAUGAAAACAUUAUCUAAAACAUGAUCAAUUGAUAUAUCUAAAGUCAAAUAAAAAGUUUAUACUAUACUUUGCCAUUUUCAUGAUUUUAUCUGCAUAUAUUGUUCAGUUUCCAUGAUUUUAUCUGGGAGGAGUCAAUUUAAGUUAUUUGCAUGCCACUUUCUCAGCAAUUGUUGUCCUAUUUUGUGCUAAAUGUCGGGUGUAUAUUAAAUUAGUCAAAAGUUGCAUAACCCGCUUUCUCCAUUACUGUUCUGUAACAAUAUUUUGAUAGCCCUUUAGCAUUAAUACUAUUUAAUUUGUCCUCUUCAUGCGUUUGAUCGGACAGUGACAAUUAUCUGUAUCAUUGAAUUUUCUAUGCUGAAUUAAUUAUCCAAGGGAGACUUGGGCUUCAUUGAAUGGGAGAAUCUUCACGGACAGUGCUAGCCAGGGGACCGCACCACGGCACAGAUCACUCGGUUUGUGGUGUUGGAUUAGGGUGUUUGGGAGUGUGGUAGCGGUUGCUUUUCAAAUAGCUUUUCGUGCCGAAAAGCAUGCCAAUAAUGUUUUUUUAUUUUUUAAAAAUCAUUUUUGACAUCAGCACAUCAAAACGAUCCAAAAAGUACAAACCGCACUCAAUUUUAACAAAAAUAAAUAAAUAAAAAAUUUUUGAAUUUUUUCAAAAAACCGGUUUGGCCGCAUUGCCAAACAAACCGGUUUGUGGUGUUGGAUUAAAGGAUAUUCCAACUUCUUGUUUACUGCUUUACUUUUCUUCAUAGACUUGGGAAGUCAAGAUUCCUAUAAUCCACAUCAUCAAAAUAAAUUUUAAUUAUUUGAGCGAUUCAUUUGAUAUUAACCCCACAAUUAUUUUAAUUAGUCUGUUAAUGUUUUUCUUCAAGCUUGUGGAGCCGCAUGUUCACCAACUAUUUUGUUUUUUUUUUCUUUGUAUAUUUAAAAAGUCAUUUAAUUUAAGUUUUUAUGGUAAUUUAUUUUUGUGUUUUAAAAGUAUUUUUAAAUAAAUUUAAUUUUUUUUAUUUUUUAUUAACUUCAAAUUAAUAUAGUUUUAGUAUUUUUAAAUUAUUUUGAUGUGCUGAUAUUAAAAAUAAUUUUUAAAAAAUAAAAAAAUAUUAUUAAUAUAUAUUUUAAUAUAAAAAAUUAUUUAAAAAACAACCACAAUUAGAUGUUGUAGUGCUUGUUUUUAUUCUUCGUAGACCUAUGAAGUCAAAAUUCCCAAUUAUCCACUGCAUCAAUCUCUAUCCCAUUAAAAUGAAUUUGGUGCAAGAAAAUGAAUUUUAAUAUUAUUAAUAUAUAUUUUUUAAAAAAUAUAGCGUAUAAAAAAGGAAAUCCUGUAUCAUAUCUUUCACAAAUCUUAAAUAAUUAAUGAGAAAGCAGAACAAGGAUAAAACAACAUUGUUUUUUAUAUAUAAAAAAUAAAUAAUUAAUAGAUUGCAAUUAGGUAUUUAUUCAAGUCAGGCCAACUAUUAACCGAGUCACUUGGAUUUCUCAUUAUGCAUAUUUAAGAUUGCUAAAAAAAAAAAAUUAGUUUAAUUUCACAUAUAAGCUAAUUCGAUAACACUUUUUAAUAUAAAACCAAAAAAAAUGAGUGCUAUCGUCAUCAACUUUAUUUGGUUUAAAUUUAUGACGUUUGACAUAUAAAUUCUAUUCAAUUUAAAUCAACUUUUCAAUAAAUAGUUAAUGUUAAUGAGCACAGUAGCGAGAACUAAGCAGUGUUAUGUGUAUUUGGGACUGUGAAUACUGUACACUUUGGCUCUCUUCAUAGAGUCAAUUGACUUUCACACGUAGGGCAUGUUUGUUUCCCGAAAAACAGUUUUCGGGAAACCAUUUUCCAAACUUUCCUGUGUUUGUUUGUUAUUAGGAAAGUUGGUCAACGGAAAAUACAUUUCGGUCAACGGAAAACACUUUAUAGUCAACGGAAAACACUUUCCAGUCAAAGAAAAAUUUGACUUGGUUUUCAGGAAAGUGUUUUCCCUUUAGCUGUGUUUGUUUUCCGGAAAGUGGUUUCCGGAAAAUCACUUUCCAAUCCGGUCAACGGAAAACACUUUCCAGUCAAAGAAAAAUUUGACUUGGUUUUCAGGAAAGUGUUUUCCCUUUAGUUGUGUUUGUUUUUCGGAAAGUGAUUUCCGGGAAAUCACUUUCCAAACUUUCUUUUGUUUGUUUGCUAGUAGGAAAGUUGUUCAAUGGAAAACACUUUCCAGUAAAAUGAAAGUUUGGCUUGGUUUUCAGGAAAGUUUUUUCCUGAAAAAUUUGAGGGGAAAACACUUUCCGGAAGUUGUGAAAAAUUUAGAAAUAUCAUUAUUUGUUGAUUAUAUCAAAUUUGAUCCUCAAACUUUUGAUUGCUAUAUAUAUAUAUAUAUAUAUAUAUAUUGAGUAUUUAUUUUUCAAUUUCAUCUCUUAAAAUUUUAUUUUUAUAUUAACUUUGGUCUUUAUUUUUAUAUUUGCUUUUUGCUUUUUCCUUAUCAUUUUUUUAUUGAAAUUUUGUAUCUAUCAAAUUUGGUCUUCAUUCUUUUGAUUGUUACUUAUUUUAUUUGAAACAAUUUAUAAAAUGUUGAUUAUUAUUAUUUUAAUUUCUUCAUCUUUUUUUUAAUUUUUUAGAUUUGAUCUCUAUUAUUUUGAUUAUUAUUUAUUUUAUUUGAGAUAAUUUAUGAAAUUAUUUUUUUUUUUCAAUUUCAUUCUCAUUCAACUUUUUAAUUUAUAAGAUUUGUUUCUCAUUAUUUUAAUACACUUGAGAAAAAUAAAAUAUUAAUAAGUUAUUUUCCAGCUCAUUUUCCAUGACAUAACCAAACACUGGAAAGUGUUUUCCAACUCAUUUUCCAUUACACUACCAAACAUCGGAAAAUACUUUCUCGGAAUUCACUUUCCUCAGAAUUCACUUUCCAAAAGGAAACUACUUUCCAGCAAACAAACGGAGCCGUAGUAAAAAUGAAAAACAAAUUACUCCGUGGAUUGGUGAUUAAACUACAAUACUAAAUAUACCCCCUGAUCUGUGGAUUUGUGAUUAAACUUGGAAAAAAACAACAAUACUCUAAAAAGCCAUAUGUGAAUUUGUGAUGAAGAAAAUUCAUUAUUUUUAUUUUUUUUUGACAUAUUAGGUUCCACUAGAUGCACCAAGUCAAUGUGAGUGGUUGUCUUUUUUCUUAUUUAUGAGAAUCCAAUAGAGGCAUCAAGUCUAGGGCUCCACAAUGUCUGCCACUAGUCAAUUUCCUCCAACUUGUUGUGUAAAUUACUUUGUUUUCUCUUCAUAUAUAGACAUGGAAAGUCACGUGAUCUAAUGGAAUACAAAAAUUUCUUCCUCAACUCUUUUCAUGGAAUGAAGUGAUUUCCCGGUAGCUUCAUCAUCCACUUGCACUUUUUUUUCUCCGUAGACUUGUGAAGUCGGUCAAGAUUCCCAAUAUAUUAUCAACAUCAUCAAUUUAAAAAAGAAAUAUAUGUUAGGCUGAUUUACUUUCAUAUUAAUUAUUGUUUGAAUAUUCUUCAUCUGAAUGAUAUUAGUCCAUUCAAAACAAAUUCAUUUUCUUUUUUAUAAAUAUAUUUAUAUAACUACCAAAGAAGAAAAUGCAUUGAUUAAAAUAUUAUUGAUGUGUUUGAAUGAAGAAAGUUAGGGCAGCGAUGACCAACAUAAACACCGUGUGAGCCAAUAAAAUUGAAAACAAAAGACAAUAUCAAUGGAUUGCAAAAAAAAAAAAGUUUUAUGUUAAAUUUAUCUAUAUGUUAAAUUACUUGAUUAACUAAACUUAAUCAUUUAAUAUUGAAUUACUUGAUGAAAACAUUACCUAAAAUAUAAUUAAUUGACAUAUUUAAAGUCAAAUAAAAAACAAACCCCGCUUAUUUUUAAUAUUAAAUAUUAUUUUUUAAUAUAAAUUCUUCAACAUGAAAAAUUAACAAAAUUUAAAUAAAUUGUGAUUACUGUUUGAGCGAUUGAUUUGAUCUUGGACCCAUAAUUAUUUUCGUUAGUCUGUUAAUGUUUUUCUUCAAGCUUGUGAAAUUGUUACCCAUGUAAAUGCUAUGUUUCUCUUUAGAUUUUUUCCUACCCUUGAAACUGUUAUGAACAUAAGUAAAAGAGAUGAAAACUCCUUUACCCACGUAUCGAGUGUCGCACGUGUACGACAGCGCGACGAAUCGUCCACCCUCAAAUGAAAAAAAAUCGGAAUAUUUAUUCCUGGAAAAUAGUCAGAGACAAGGAAUUCUUGUCUCUACAAGUAAAAAUAUGGACUGGGAGACUGGUUACUAGGAACUUUAACUGGUCUUUAGAGAUCGGGUACGGAGACUGGUUACGUAAAAGAAAGGUAUAAGCACCCCAAUUACACCCUACCUAAGGUAGGCUGCAUUGUUUUAAUGUCUGAUAACAUCUAAGGUCGUGUUUGUGGAUUUUAAUAUUAUUGUUCGGAAUACGCAUUACAUGUAAUGUCAUAUCCCAAGUUCUAUUAAAAAAAAAUUAAAUAUCCGGAAUAUGUAUUGUGUAUAAUGUAUAAUGUCAUACCCCGGAUAUUAAAAGAUAAACAAAAUAAAAUUUUUGUUGUUUUUUUGAAAUUUUGGCCAAUAUUCUCUUGACUUUAAUAAACUGGUUAUUAAAGCCAAAAUGCAUGCUAAAACAUUGUUUUUCUCUUUUUUUUAAUUUGUUUUUGUAUUCUUGAAAGUCGAAAACCGGGUAUUUCAGUACCAGAUUUGUAUUUUACGACAUAAAAAUAUUGCCCGAUAUUAAUCAAAAUGACAUAAAAACUACGCGGAAAAAUUAUAAAAUGCUGAAACAAAUAUUUUUGAUUUUUUUUUGAAUGGGCCGGGUGAACAGUAUCGUGUGAACAGUAAUGAAUACGGGGUAUUUUAAUACCAGAUUUAUAUUUUUACGAUGUAAAAUACAGACGAUAUUAAGCAAAAUGAUAGAAGAAAACGUGCUUUUUUAAAAAUAUGUAUAUAUAUAUAUAUAUAUAUAUAACUUAUAACAAAAAAAUAAAAAUAAAUAAAUAAAUAACUGGCCGGACCCGACCCAAAUGCAUGGGCCGGGCCGACCAAGCCUAUUUACAUGGGCUGGGCCAAAGGCCCAAACGGGCUGGUUACUGUGCAUCAGCACAGUAACCAGCCCUUCCUUAUUUGCAGAACGUGAAAUAAUUCACGUUCUGCAUGAAGGCACAGCGGAUAACAAAGGGAGGCAGAGGCGGGGCAACAGGAUGGCGUACCUGCGGUGGCGUCGAGGCGGUGCGGCUGGCGGCGGAGGCACGGUGGCCGGCGGAGGCACGGUAGCCGGCGGUUUUCCUUCUCUCUCUCUCCUCUGUUUUUGUUCUCUUCUCUGCCGAUUCUCUUUCUUCUUCUUUUUUCUUUUUCUUUCUGUUUCUCUCGUCUCUCUCUACCCUCUUUCUGUCGUGCAAUCCUUCUCCUUCUCCCCCUCUUUUUUUUUCUUCUCUGCUUCGGUCCCCUUCCACUGUUUUUAUAGGAAAAAAUAGGGGGGCCGAAUGGUGGGGCGGCUUGGCCGCCCCUCCACUAUCCGUUCAAAAGGAGGCAAGUGGGGGUCGAAUGGUAGGCGUCUUAUUGCGCCAAAUCCGGGAAAGAAGUUCGGCGAAAAGUGGAGAAGAAAAAAACUCUUCUCCCUUGUUCUCUGCGUGCGCAGGGAAGAAGACGAUGGUGUCGUUUCAAAACAGCACCGUUUUACGUUUUCUCUCUCUUUUUUUUUUAAAAUAAACAGUGCAUGAAACGACGUCGUUUUGGUCAAAACACGCCGUUUCAUUUAAAAGGAAAAGGCGGUAAAACACGUCAGAUUCAAAUUUAGUCCAUCAAUUUGCGCGCGUUUUACGAUUUCGUCCUUGGUCUCGGAUUUCUGAAAUUAAGUCCUUAAUUGACCAUUAAACUUCAUUCUUUAUGCAAUUAAGCCCCUGAUUUGACCAAAUUAACUUUCAAAAAUUAUAAGUUGACACCAGAACUUUAAUUUCUUCCAAUUCAAGCCCAAAAUAACUCCAAAAUCAAUUGUUUUUGCAAUUAAAACCUCUAUAAAUUCAAUUAAACCUUCAAUAAAAUUUAAUUGAGUCCAUAAACUUCUAAUUUUGCAUUUUUCUUCCUCAAAUUGAAUUUUCUUUAUCAUCGAGGCUCUCAUCAGUCAAUGAUAUACUGUCAGAAAUGAAAUUUUAUUUGUUUGAACAUCCUCAAUCAAUUUUUGAGCAUUUUUAGGGCACUCUGACAUUUUUUUUUUACUGUUAUAUUUUUUGAUAAUAUAUUUUUUUGAAUUGUUUUGUAUUUUUUAGGUGAGGACUCAAAAAUGGGUUACAACAUCGAGCAUACCCUAGUUACAUAACACUAGUUAAAUCUUGACAUAACAGUUCAAGUUAAUUAAUGGCUAGGAUUUUGUUUAGUGGAUUUGUUUUUUGAAAUUAAAUAUCAUAUCAAUAAACAAAUAGCAACUAAAAAUGUAACUAAAAAUAGCAAUAUUUGUUUAAAUAUCAUAUCAAUAAACAAAUGUAACUAAAAAUGUAACUACUAAAAUAGAUAUUUUAUUUUGUUAAUUUUAUUUGAAAAAGCUUUUGAACAUAAGGACUCCAUAUUUUUUUUUUUAUGAUUACUAUAUUGGAUAGGCUUAAUGCCCCGGUAAUAACCAGGAUAGGAGGCCGACUUAAUUAGAGUUGAUAGGGCACAAAUAUAUAUAUAAUGUGCUCCGAUUAAUACAAAAUUAAUUAUAAUAAUAAUUAGGGUUUGUUCUUUUAUUCAGUUUCUUGUUAUCUAUUUUUGGGUUCUCUCACAAAAAAAAUUGCAAGAAAACAAAAAAUAUGAACAAUUGAUUUGAUCUUAUGAAAUACAUGGCAGAAGAGAUUAGAAAAUGAUUUCCAUUUGUCAGAAAUACACCCCAAUAGUCUUAAUUUGAAUUGCACUUUGCACUCCUUUUCCAGCGAUCAAUAGCUAGGAAACCUGUCAGUGAAAUCUUUAUUAUUUGCUCCGGGUUGCUGCUGCUGGUUACUCUGUCACGGAUUAUUAUUUUUCAGUAGUCAGUUAUCCUAGUGCUUGCUUGGACAUGCUCAACAAUGGAGUUCCUCUAAAUGUAAUUACCAAAGUGAAAUCUUCUGUCAAAGUCAUUUCAAGCCGGAAAAGAUCAGGAAAAAGAAGUCUUGAAACAUCAAGCGAAUAGAGCCCAGCAGGAAAAAUUCGUUUCUGACGGUGAGAUUUGUAAUGUGAUCCUAGAUACAAUCUCAUCUCGAUUAGACUCCAGUACUGGAGGAUGUGAUUGCUGAUAUAAAAAAUAAAUAAAUAAAAACACUUAUAUGUUAUUUCUCAGUUCAAAUCUGGUGAUGAGAUUCAUACAGAAGGACUCGUGGCACGGCUGAAGCAGAUCCAAGGUCAAUACUUGAGGAAAAUCUUGGAACCAUUCCAGCUACUAUUAUUUUUUCCAACUAUUAGAUCUUAACAUCAACAGUCAAUAUCGUUGAAAAAAUCAACAUUGAAGCCAUACAAAUUCACGUAAGGGACACACAAACCCCACAAGAAAGAAAGGAAAAGGGCCUCACAAGAAGUAAAUAAAAUCUCACAAUGAGUAAGAAAACCAAACAUAUUGUAGAAUAAAAGUAAGGCAUUGGAUUGAUCGUUCAUUAGCCGUUCAUGAUCAUGAAUCAAAUCAUUACAUAAAUCAUCACCCACGCAAGUAAAAUAAAAAUCAAGGCUUUGGAGAUUGCUUAACCUUUCCAACAGCGUUGCUGUUUCGAUCGGUAGGCUUGAUACUUUUAGUUUUAUCUAUGUUAACACUAUAGGUAAUUAAGAGUUUAUUUGGUAAUGUGGUUACGGUUAUUUUUUAAAUAAUUUUUUGUAUUAAAAUACAUGUCAAUGAUAUUUUGACAUCAGCACAUCAAAAUAAUUUGAAAACACGAAAAACAUAUUAAUUUAAAGUUAAUAAAAAAUUAAAAAAAUUCAAUGAUAUUUUGAUAUUAGCACAUCAAAAUGAUUUGAAAACACGAAAAACAUAUUAAUUUGAAGUUAAUAAAAAUUUAAAAAAAUUUAAAUUUUUAAAAAUAUUUUUAAAAUAUAAAAAGAAACAGGCUCAACCGCGGAAAGUCUUGCAAAACAAAGCAUGUAUAGGGAGGGUGGCAGACACGUAGCUUCGCUGUGAUUUCUUGACAUUAUAUUUUUUAUUGAUUUGUUUUUUUGUAUUUUAUUAUUUUUUAUGCGGACACCCAAAAAUGAGUUACAACAUUAUUUGAGAAUAGACAAAAAAAAAUUUUUAAUUCAGUUAUAGGAUGAUGAAUUCUCUCUUGGUCAUUCAAAUAUCUUCAUAUAGUUUACAUUAUACCUAAUAUUUACUUAUUUUUUACCAUUGAUUAGAAUAAUAUGUAAUCAGGAUCAAAACAUAACACUCCCUAAAUAAAAUAACUUGGUGAUCUCAAGUCCUUUAAUCUUUGGUGCUUCCCUGAAGGUAGAGUUUCAUCUAUGGCUUUUAAUCUUGAAUAAAUUGCCUAAAAAAAAAAAGACUAAAACUGUGAAUUAUAUUUUACUUUAUCAUAAGAUGGUUUAGAAGUUAUGAUAUCGGGUGACAAAAUAGUUGGGACAAUAGUUGAUCUUGCCUCAAUCUUUGGAUGACGUCUUCUUAUUAUGGAAUGGCAUGGUAUAGGGAUUUAUGACAAAAAAAAAGUGGUGUUUAUUCUUCUCUGGUAUAGUUUAGUCUAUUUAGAAUACCUGUAAUAAUAUAAUUUUUAAUGAGAAAGAAACAAAUUAGAAUGGGAUAUAUUAUUUCUUUUUUAAUUGGGCUGUUAUUUGAGCGAAAUAUAAAGAUUUAGAGCUUUUUCUAUACUAGGUUAGAUUUAAUUUGUUCAUCAAAUUAUUUUUUUAUAUGGACUAAAAAUAUAAAUAUGAGAAUUGAUUCUCCAAUAUUAACGCAUCUUCAAAUGACAAAACAGGGUCUUUAAGAAUUGGUGGUGUUUUUAGUGAUAAUGAAGGAAGAUUCCUUUGUAUUUUUUUCUUGUUCAACAGGUAAUAUAGAAUCUAUUGAAAUUGAGGUCUUGUUAAUUUGAAAAGCUAUGAUUGCUACUAUGUUAUUAAUUGAUGAGUUAGAUUCUUACGAUGUCGUUACACGUCAUAAUUAAAGCAUAAAAUGUCGUGCACGCCGAUGCUUGACUUGCGGUUUUCCAUUUUGAUUUUUAAAUACCAGAAAACAGUAAUUUCCUUAUAGAAACUGGUGGUCUCCUCACGACAUUUUUUUCAAAUAACUGUUGUCAGAAAAUGACUAUCCUCAUUAACAGUAAUUUAUUAAUUUUUUUUAAUAUACUUUGUUCAUGUGAGGUUGUGUUUUCAAAAUCUUCCAAGAAAAAAAGGGACUAAAUGAUGAACCAAAUUGAAUUUCACGCUCCUAAUUUAAUAAAUUAAAAUUUUCAAGCUCUAAAGUUAUAUCCUUAGCACCAUACUCUAUUAAGGAAAAGCUCUAAUAUUUUUAUCAAAAGUUUAUAAUUUAAUAAUCCAAUCUUAAAACAAUACUUUAAUUGUUGAUAUAAAAAUUUAAAACUGAUCUAAUCAAAAGAGUUCAAAACUAAAUGGAAAAAAUAAUUAAAAUAUAAAACUAACUAGAAAAGUAAUUAAAAUAACAAAAAUAAAAUCUUUUGAGCUUAAUUUGAAAAGAUUUGUGUGGUGGAUGUUCAAACAUAUAGUUUUGAAACCCGAUCCGGUGAUCGACCCGGUUUAAUGAUCGGGUCACGGGUCCAAUGGGUUGACCCGGGUUAAUCCAGGUCAACCUAAAAAAAAAAAAAAAAAACUAAUUAAAGGGCAUUUUAUGAAUCAGGGGCAGGGCCGGGCGGUUAAAGAGGAAGAGCUUAUAUAGGCUCCAUUGCUAAAUUAACCUAAUGAGGUGAAAUUUAUCUUCCCCUCCAAUUUGAAAAUAUUUUGAUUGAGUUCAGGGCACAGAGCCCUAGACAAUGAAAAUUAGUAUUCCCCUCCUAUUCAACUUGAGAAGAAUCUUGUCCUCACCUAAAGCAUCUCCUACAUUCCAAAGGCUAGAAGUCUGCUUUCUUCGUAUUUGAGCAUCUUUGCCUCUUUUACUCUGAAUAGAGAAGGAGCUGCUCUAGAAUGCCCUCUUUUGAGGUGCAGAUGAGGUGGAGGAAUCGGUUGUGCACAGUUCCUACUGGGAGGUAUAGUAAAGAAGGUAUAAUCAAUUGGUUUUUCAAACUGUAGCAUAGACACUUGUUUGCCACAGUGGGGGUAGGUACUUUUAGUAAUGAUGAAGAUGAAGAUUUCAGAUGAGGAUUUGGAGAGGCCAUUGGCCAUUUCAGAUGAAGAUUUCAGCCGGGUUUCAGCUGGGUUUACCCGGGUCAACCAGGUUUCGGGUCGACCCGCCGGGUCUACGGGGUUUCACCGGGCCAACUCCCAAGCUAGUUUUUUCUUAGACCCAGACCGGUCCUAGGCCAGGUCGGCUGGGUCCCGGGUCGACCCGUUGGGCCGGUCCGGGUUUCAAAGUGUUUUUCGUUGACUAGAAAGUAUUUUCCGUUAACUAACUUUUCUAAUGAUAAACAAAUACAGGAAAGUUUGAAAAAUGGUUUCCCAGAAAUUAGUUUCCGGGAAACAAACAUGGCCUUAGUAGACCUAGGAAGUCAAGUUUUCUAAUUAUCCACGUCAUCAAUCUCGAUCCCAUCAAAAAUUAAUUUGGUCGAAGAAAGAAAAAAAAAAUUAUCAAUUAUUUUCAAGCUUGUGGAACGGGUGUUCCUCCAUUUUCUUGUUUAACUGUUUUCUUUGCAGACUUGGGAAGUCAUAUGUUAUGAACAAUUGAUUUGAUCUUGUAAAAUUUAUGGCAGAAGAGAUUAGAAAAUGACUUCUUCUUUCAAUAAUCUUCUUCUUUGUGAAAUGAUUUCCCGAUACAGCUCUUAAUUUCAACACCUGCUUGCUCUUCUUUUCUUAGUAGACCUGGGAAGUCAAGAUUCCUAAAUAUCCACAUCAUCAACCUCGACCCCAUCAACAAUAGUGCCCACCAGGAAAAAUUAGUUUCUGACGGUGAGAUUUGUAUAGCUAGUAAACAUGCUCAACCAAUAAUCAUAAAUGAUGCCAAAAUUGUAGUCAAAGAGACUUGGAACUCCCUGAUGAUGGUCUCUAGCUCUGGAGGUUUAUUCUGCCAAAAUUGCAUGGGCCGUUUUACAGCCUUCGUAAUGGGCUUGGCUACUUUGGGUAAUUAAAAAAACCCAAAUCGAUAAUGUUUUUUUUUUCCUUCGGUAUCCGUUUAAUCAAUCUUCUGGUUUGAUCCUUGAUAGUGCUGUGUUUUGAUGCUUGUCGAUUAGCCACAAUAAUGUUAAAUUUACAAGGACAGGUCCAAGAAAAGCAAUGCAGGCCUGUAUUGGUCUCUGGGAGUCCGCUGAUAAAGGCUGCAAUCAUUGCUUGAACCCUUGUAAAGGGGCCUUUACACAUGAGGUCCACUGAAGAAGUACAACACCGUUUUUUAUUUAAUUCUUAUGGUUUAAAUCUACUAAUAACUUAGUCAUUUUGCAUGCUAUUUUCCACUUGUUUUGUAAAAUAGAGAAAAGAACAAAGUAAAUCUUUUUUUUUAGUUUAUGGCAUGUUCUCAAAAGUUUUAUUGAUAUUAAUUAAAUAACAAAGACAUUGAUGUAGCUGAAAAUUGAGAACGAGAGGGAUGAUCAGGAAUGGAUUAAGCAAAUUGGGCUUGAAAAAGACCCAACAGCAGAGAAAAAUCUGAAAUAAACUCUUGAUGUUCAAAAUAGCCCACAAGCAAGGCUUAAAUAGUUAGGGCUGAGAAAAUUACCAAAAUAGGUAAAUACUGAUUAUUCAAUAAAUAUAGAAACUUCCUGGAAUAAGUUUGAUAUCCUUUAAUUUUUUUACCGUCUUAGAACAGUUUAUCCUGUUCGAUUCCGCUUUGCUUCGACCGACCACAAUGAUCCCAUAUCCAUCUAUACAAAAAUCGAUUAAGCUGUCCGUUGACACAUUAACUUCUCUGGCUCCAUUCCAUCCUGGAUUAGCAAUCUUUCCCGGAUCAUUUAUGCCCGUUAGAACUGUUAAGCAUGUUGGAUAUUUUGCAUAAUAAGCUCUCGGGUCCUUUAUCCUCUUGUUUGUCCAAUUUAACUUUCAUGGCAAACGAUGCAAAAUGCUAUCUAUCUUUUUUUUGUUUUUUAACUCUGGGUGUCCGGGUCAGUUUACGCGCACCACAACUAAUCUCAGGACCUACUGAACAUCCUGCAAGCUCAGUAGGCAAAUAAAGUACCGCCGGGGUGACAGACUGGUGCACAGCGAGGAUCGAACUCGGGCAAUUGACCACUGAGUUAAACCCUCAAGUGUCAGCCCUACAACUUGGCCUAGUAUUCAAUAUUUUGAUAAGUCAAAUCUUGUACUCAGAGGCGCAACUAAGGGGUGGCAAGUAGGGUCGGGCCCUGCAACCACCCCUACAAAAUAUUUUAGAAUUUAUUUUUAUUUCGUUAGUUAUUUAUAAAUUUAAAAUUGCCUCUUCGUAUAAGUUGGAAAAAAUAAAAGAUAAAUAAUUUUUUCAAUUUAAUUACUUUUCUUUAUUGUUUUUUUAUUUCCAUUCUCUAAAAUCCUAACCAAAAAAAUAUAAUAAUACAAAGCAAAAAGAAAAAGUUAAAACAAAGUUAUCAAUUAAUUCAUUGUUCAUUGAAACAAGAUAAUUAAUGACCCAAAUUUAAAAUCUUUUGUUUUUUUUGUUUGUUAAGAAUUUGCUUAGAUGUAUAUAUAUAUAAUUAUGCUUCUUUUUUUUAUAGAUCUACUAGGUUUAUCAUUUUUUUAUUUCUUGCUAUAGUGAAUGUUGUUUUUUUGUAAUGAAUUGGAUAUAUUUUAUGGGUUUAUUUUGAUUAUACAUAUAUAUUUUUUUGUUUUGUUUUUAGCAGAAUCGUUAAAAUUAUCAAUUUUUUUCUCACAUAUACCUUACUAUCACCAGAUCCAAUAUAUAAUUAGACACGAUUUUUCUAGCCAAAUUAAGUUCUUUGAAAAACACAUGCCUAGUUUUAAUUCAAUUUAAGUUUUCUUUUUUAGAAAUCAAUAAUUUCAUUUUUUAUGUUAGAUUUGUUUUUAUAUAUCUUUUUUUUUAAUAUGUUGAUUUUGCUUUUAUAAGCCAAUAUGGUUUACAUGUAACAAAUUAUAUUUUAUUAUAUUAGUUUUGACCCUUCCUGUUAAAUAAUCUCAGCUACGCCCCUGCUUGUACUGAUGGGUUUGCCUCAAGUAGGCUAUUCUUAUCGUGAAAAUAAGUUCACAAACAACAUUGCAGAUUAAUCUGUCGAGUUCUCAACAAAAAGACAGUCUUACUCCUAUCGAGAUGAUCUUCUUCCUUUCAUGUCUGGUAUUGAUUUUUCUUACAACGGAUUCACUGGCAAAAUCCAACCAAAUUUUGAAAUUGUAAGUGAGCUACGAGCGGUAAAUCUAUCACACAUUAAUCUCAUUGGAUCCAUCCCCGCAACUCUUUAGAACCUGAAGCAGAUUGAGAGUUUGGAUCUUUCUCACAGCAAAUUGACCGGUACGGUACCAUCCCUUCGCAGCUAUUGAGGUGAGCACAUUGGAGGUUUUCAGUGUUGCAUACAAUAACUUGUCCGGUAAAACUCCAGAGAGGAAAGCUCAGUUCGGAACCUUUGAUGAAAGUAGUUAUGAGGGAAAUCCUCUUCUUUGUGGACCUCCAUUGCGAAUUUGCAGUGAAACAAACUCGUAAUUGCGCAGCCUGUACCUAAUAAUGAACAAGAAGAUAAUAAUGGUUUCGUAGACAUGGAUGCUUUCAUUGUGAGCUUUGAGGCAUGUUACAUAAUUGUGUUGUUGGCAAUUGCAGCAGCUCUUUACGUAAAUCCUUACUGGAGAAGAAGAUGGUUUUACUUCAUUGGAGAGUGCUUAAGCAAUUGCUACUGUUUUCUAGUGGUUAAUUUCCGUAAGCUGUCCAACAUCAUGUCAUCGGACCUCUGUAUAAUCAUUCAAUUAGAUGACACAUUUAAAAAUUUUAAAAACUAAUAAUACUAUAACUAUGAAGAACACCUAAAAUAUUUAAUUUUAUUCUUCCAAGUCUCUGCUAAACUAAUGAUACACAAUUGUGGUACUAGCAAUUGCGGGAGUUUUGUACAUAAACCCAUAUUGGCGACAUAGGUGGUUUUACUUCAUUGAAGAGUGCAUGGAGACUUGCUACUUUGAAUUGCAUACAUUUCAUAAGCUAUCCUCCUUCAUAAGGCCAUAGGGUCUGAUGCGUGCCUUUUGUUUUUUCAUAUUUUUUAGUUUGAACUAAUAAAACCUUUACUUUUUUUCAAGCUUCAGUUCAUUUUAUUGCAGUUUCUCAAAUGAAUUCUACAAAUUCAAGAUAUAUAUGCAUCCUUAAUGCCAUAUUAAAAAGAAUAUAUAGAUAGAAGAAGAGGAGCUUUACGUGAUAUGGAUAGCGUGAUGCUCCUAAGCCUAGAACCAGCUAAAACUUAAUAUUAUGAUGAAUAAUUCAGCAAAACUUAAUUCAAUUUCAACUUCCAAUCUCAUCAUUAGUACAAAAUGCAGAGUCAGAUUGAAAGGAAAUUGAUUGGAACUUGAAAUUCAGGUAACAAUACUUCUAGCAGAGCUUCCUCCUUAGCCUCUCCCUAUUGUAUCUUCUUCGAGUGGAACUCUUAGCUUUUUGCCCUCCAAGAUAUAUGUUCUCAUCUUUCUCAAGUACUCUCUUUUCCAUCCAGCAUAAGCAAUCACAACUUACCUCAACGGAAAACUUUAUAGCCAACUUCAAGUCUUCAACCAAUAUUUAAAAGGAAUUUUGUCCUUUGUUUGAUAAGCAAAAUCAACAGAACCUGUCGUUGACUUUCUAGCUCAUAUAUAGCAGUAGCCAUUUUAAGGAGCAGAAACAAACACUGUAGAGAUUUAUCAUCACGAAAAUCUAGUUGAAGCCAACUACAUCAAAACUCCACAGCCAAUGUAUUAAUCUAGUUCUGUAAGCCUACACCUUUGGCAUUUUUAUAUAAACUUAUAUCCUAGCUUAAUAACAAGUAUUUUAGUUACUGGAAAAUAAAUAGAUAAGAUAAUCCUAACUUAAUCUAAAUUAAAUAGUUAACACAAUAACACAAAUCAAAACUCAGGAAACAAGAAACAAGUGUGAAUUGAGUUAAAACAAAUAUGAAAUCAAAUAGAGGAUGGAAAGUUUAUUUUUAGAUCAAGAAUAGCAUGUAUUAAAAAGAUAAUAAAUAAAAUUAGAGUAAUAACAUUGCUACAACUUAUCAUUAAAUUUCAUUUGCAAUUUCCUCUCAAUUUUCUGUAGUUUUGUAGAGACAAAGAUUAGUUGGUCCUUACGGGAAUUUUUCUUCCUUAAUUUCACUCCCAUUUUCCAAACGAUGGAAUUCAUACAACCUUUCGAUUUUAUUUCCACGUAAAAUCCAUUCUUCUGUAUCAAACAGAACAUAAUAAUGGGCCAUAUUUUAAUUUAAAUAUCUUUUUCCUAAUAUUUAAAGCCUUUUUGCUGGGAAAAUGGGGAUUUGAGAGAAAAGACAAUAGAUAAGAAAGGACAUAAAAAAAAGUGAGAGAAAAUGAUGGUGGGUCUUCAUUCUUCAAGGACCGUAUUGGAACUCCUUGGAGGCAUGCGUGAGAGGUGAAAUGGAAAAGUAUAGGGAUCAAAGUGUAAUUUCAAUGAAUAUAUAGGGCUUAAAAUACAAUUUACCCUUAAUUUUUCAUGGAUGACGCAGUCACAAGGGGAGGAUAGAGGUCAUUUCUGAAAUGAUAAGACAGGCAGUGACAAUAAGUAAAAUUUUGUAAAUCAUCAUCAAUAAGAAAUCAUGACGUGGGGACAGAUCAGACGGUUGAUAGUGACUCUUUUUACCCGCUCUCUUUCUCUCCGUGGGGGGUUUUAGGACAGUAUCGCGCGAGAUGCGCGGGUGCCGUGUUCUUACAUUUCCAAGGUGCAUAGUGGGAUCCAUGUCUUUAUCCAACCAAUUAAAAUCUUGUACUCCUUGGGACCCACUCGGUUUCUAGUUUUUUCUUUUUAAAAAAACAAAUUCAUAAAAGCCCUCAACCUUCGAGGCUCCUCUCAAGCUAGUCUCAUCUCUAUCAUAGCAAUAUUAGAAUUUUUAUUCAUUUUUAGUUAACAGAAAAUUUAAGUAAUCACUUGAAAUUUAUAUGGUUUUUUUUAUAUCACUUGAAAUUUAUAUGGUUUUUUUUAUAUCACUUGAAAUUUAAGUAAUCACUUGAAAAAAUUCUCAUUUUAAAUCGCUUGAAACUAAUUUUAUAAAGAAACACAACCAUCUUACAUUUUUAUAAUUUAUAUAAUUUGUUUAAUUACAUUAAAAAAUGAUAUAAUAAGAUGAAGAGAAAUCACAUAAAUGUUUGAUUUUAUAGCCCUUUAAAACAAACUCAUCAAAAUAUUUAAUCCAAAUUAUAGACUCUAAUAUGAAUAAAUAGAACUGGGCUAACUAAAAAAAAGCAUGUUCAUGUAAAAUGACUAGUCUGACUAAAAAAAUCUAAAUUUCAUUUCGACCUUUAAAUCAUUUUUAAAUUUAAACAAGAGAUUCUAGGUCUCAAUUCUAUAAAAAGGUGGCCUCGGCUUGAUGUUUGAGUCAAUUUCAUUCUAGUCUGCAUGGCAAUGGUCCCACUCAAUCGCAGUAUCCACAUGAGCAGAGUCUAAUGAACUACUCAACAUGCAUUUGGUUCUGGUAAUUCAAUUAUGCGAAGGGUGUAGGUUCGAAUUCUUCGACUUAAACGAACAUGUUUGCGUAAUUAAGUGUUCAAUCACGUACUUCGCUAUUGAAAACAUUUAGAAUUUAUCAACAAUUCAAUUAAGCAGGUAUAUACAGACUUCCAACAUCUGUAGAUAUCAUUGAAUCAUUAGUGAACACUGAGUAGACCGAGAUCCAGAUCAAAAUGUGUCACUUAAGCUCUUAAUAUUACAGAAAACUUACAAUUGCCCUGAUGGUUAGCACAAAAGACCGGCUUGGAGUUCAGACUAGCCAAAUUGCCCAACUCUUUAAGCCUGAAUUUUAUCACCAUCAUAAAAUGGGGAAAUUAGUUUAGAUAUACAAGGCGAAAUGGAAUUAAUUACCUCACAUUUUGAACUUCAGAUUGGUAAUGCAUGACCACUUGCAGGUCCUCCUAGUGUUAGAACCACACCUUGAAGAUCACUUCUUGGAUUUGAUUCUUUGGCUAAUGAUGGAGCAGCUCUGAUUACCGGAUAUGUUCUGGUCACUUGAGUUUGUCGAGAACUAUGACUGGAUUCUUGUCCUGAGAAUGUUGUUGGAUGAUGAGAAGGCUUCAAGGUAUCAGUAUGAUUGGAGUUUGGAAAUUGAUGAACAAUGGGGAUUUGAGUUGCUGGUGAUGCAUGAUUUUGAGCUAGAAUUGCCCCUCUCGAUACGAAACCAGGUGCCUGAUAGAUAAAAUUAGGUUUCAAUUCGAGUUCGAAAUAUACUGCAACUGAGGAAGUAAUGAGGAGCUUACAGGUGAAAACAAGACCCCUCUGAAAAUCUUCCCAUUAACAGUUGCAGUCAUUAAAAGGCCUGAGUCGAAGGCUCCGUCAACUUUACCUCGAACUUCAGCACCAACCUAUGGAGAAAGAGAAGAAAGUGAAAAGCAUGUAUUAGCAGAACAGGAAGAAAAACAAAGACAGGAAAAAUUGUAAUCGACAAUGUUUUGCAUUGCAUAUAUCAACUUAAUGAUUUACCAGGUUUUGAAUACACCCUGGCUCCAUGGGUUUAUGUUCCACUGCUGGGAAUGGUGUUCCUUGCCUGCCCAACCCUGCAUGAACAUAUUGCUCUACUCUUUUAUUCUCUCUUGAAAUUUGGAGCCUUUGCCGGGUUUUUUGGAUCACAAGUCUAGGUAGUUUCUGAUUACUUGCAACACUAUCAGCCUGGUAAUUUCUUGGAAUUUUGUUUAACUGCCUAAAGAAAUUAAGUCCUUUGCAAGAUGUGAGGGAAUCAACUGAUUUCUGAACCGGUAUCUGUUCUUGGUCGGACUGAGACGGAGAUGAAUGGUGAGAGGGUGAAAGAGAAUGCUCUUCUUGUUCUAAAUCAAUCUCCCAUGCUUUUGAAUUUGUAGGUCUUAUCUUCUUAUGAUGCAGAGUAUCUGAAAGGAACGUUGUAGGUUUUUGUUAUUAAUACUACCUGAACUGAACUGAAAAGGUUGCUUUGAUUCUUCUGAUUCAUAUGAGCCCUUCAUGUCUAUUUCAUUGUUUCCCAGAAACAUUGACUGCUUCACAGAACAAAAUUAAUAACCCUCCCAACUUGAACAGGCAUAUUUAACAGGAGGUCAAGUGUUUGCAUUUUGAGAGUAAAUAGUUUAGUUACCGAAAUAUCUUCUGCUCCUGGGAGAAAUCUCUUUUCUUGAUUCCAAUGUUGUCCAAAGAUCUUGCACAUGGGAAUGUUGUAUCGACCAUUGGGAUGUUCUGCUCCAAGUUGCAAGACCAACAACUGAUUGAGAGGACGCUCAUCCUCUCUGCACCUGCACAUACAUACACACACACAUACAUACAUAUAGAAUUGAAUUAGGAGAUACAUGAAGAUUAUGGGAGGCAGUGUUGAGAACAGAAGCUGCAGAUGCGAAACAAAAACUUUCAGUUACCCUCCAUAGAUGACAAUAUCUGAGUCGGUGACAACCGCAGUGUGAGAAAACCUCCCUUGAGGUUGCUGGCCAGAUAUAUCAAGUUGAAUCCAUGAACAAGUACUCACAUCAAGCACCCAAACAUCAUUGUAGUAAUGUUUGUCCCCAACACCUCCAAUGACAUAAAGCUGCAGACCAUGGAAAGCACAUUAAAUCUCUUUCCAAAAGCCAACAAUUGAUAAAGGAGCAUCGAAGAAUCAAAGCCUUCAAGCAAAAACAGGUGAGCAUCAAUAGCACAGACAACAGAAUAGGGUAUAACAUUCCGAAGAAAAACUAGUCUAAUUUUCAAAUCUAUUUCAGUGCCAUGACUUGCCUUUGUUCCAAUAUAUAUAUAUAUUAGAGAUUGGUUGGUUAUUUAAAUUAAUUAUUGAUAUCCAUCAUUUUUUUAAUUCAAAGUUUUCUCUAUAGUUUAGGAAGAACGAGAAAUUUUAGAGAUUGAGAAACCCUAUAUUUUAUCCUUUGUUAAAUGUGGCAUCAAGUUAGGAGUAAGCCUUCUAGUUUAAUAGAUCAUAGAUAUAACACAAAUAUCUAUGUUCAUGUUAAAUAUUAAUGAACAAUGUUAUUUGGAUUUCUGUACUCUUAUAAUUGUUCAUUUGUAGAAUUGAUGGAGGUUCUUCAAUAGUUCUUCCAUGGAAUAGUUUAAAGAUCAGAUUUUAAUUACCUUCAGCAGGUAUGGUGCUAUGGAAGUCGACUCCGGUUAAGGAUAGGACUUUAAGAGUAGACAAGGGUCUCAUUUUCCUAAGAAAGCUUGCUGGGAGAGAAGAAUAAUCGAGGAACACUUCUUCCAGGCUAGACGAAUUACACAACCCUGUAGAACAGAUAAAAUAAAUCCAUUAAUAUAUUAUAAAUAUCAUAUUGUUUUAGGCACCAAAACUGUCACUGACCUUUCCCAAAGUGUUUAAAUUUACUACCACUUGCUUGUAAGGUCUUGAGGGAUGGCAACGCUCCCAAUGACUCUAUCAAAAUGCUUUCCUUGAAGUCAAUCAUUUCCAGAUACAAGAUUUCUAAAUUCCUUAAACCUGUGAUAUAGAGAACAAUCAAUAAUAAUUAUUUACAAUAAUUAAAUAAUUUUUAAUGUUAGAGUUAAUAUAUACAAGACAUAGCUUAAGUUAUUAAAUUAAAAUAAUUUUUAAUAUAAUAAUUAAAUAUUCACGAGAAUCAUAUCACCUUUAUUUAUUUUAAAAAAUUAAAAACAAAAUUAAUUAUGUGUAUAUUUAAGUUUCAAUUACUUCAAAAUUACUUCACUUAAAAAAUUACGAUAAAGAAUUAGUUAUAUAAAGCCUUUUUAAAGGUUCAUUUAAGCAAAUUAAUGGUCAAUCACACAUCUAAUUAUUAAACAAGUUAACUAAAGAAUAGAUUAAGCAAAAACAAUAUAUAUAUAUAUAUAUAUAUAUGUUCAACGAAAGUUAUGAUUAAGACACAUCUAAUUAUUAAAUAAGCUUAAUAAAAAAUAAAUUAAGCCUCACUAAAGACAUGCGCAGGUUCCGAGAACAAGUUGACUCUUGUCAAGGUGGUGAGCUCGGUGAAGGCAUUGUAAUACUCAGAGUAUGAAAAUAGAUAUGGAUCAACCUUUAAUGGGUUGCCCCCAUAGGUAAAGGUGGAGAGCUACCUGGACUCUUGAGACUAAGAGUGAGAGACUCACAGAGAAGUAAGGCGUGGUUCCUAGGGUGGAACAGAGGGCAGAUGCAACUCCUGGGUGAGUAGACUCUUGGAAGUAUGGUGAGCUCGUGAUCAUAUUGAGAUACUCAAAUAAUGACUGUCGCACUUGGAAAUGGAAAUUUCCGUUUGAGGGGGUGUUGUAAGCCUUGGUGUGAGGCUUGAUGAAUCAUUCCGGACCGAGCAUGGUUAAUACGCUCGAAGGGGAAUGUUGUGUCCCAGAGACAAGCGUGAACACUCUUCAGAUGUGAAGUGGCAGACCAUCUGGUUGUAGUGAUCCUUUUGUGUGAGAAAAGGUGUACUUUGGUGACUCUGGUGAUUGAAAGGUGUGGCAAGUACCUGUAAACUUGGCCGGAGAUGCUCUCGGAAUGGUAAGCUUGGAAGAGUUGCAAGAUGCAAGCUUGUGCUAAAGAAGUAAGCGGGCAACUGCCCAACAUGAAUGGCAAAGGGGGUGAUUGUUGGGUUGGUUGCCAUUGCAUGUGCAACCUACCCUAUAAAGAAGUAGGGUUACCAUUUGUCAAUGGUGGUUGCACCCACCAUUGACAAAUGUAUCAACCCAUGUGCGGCUGCUGUUAUUGAAGAAGAAGAGCCACCAUCCUUGCCUAUAAAUAGGCACCAAGAAAGAGAGCAAAAUGAGAGAGUUGUGAGAAUGUAAAGAGUGUGAAGAGAGAAAGAAAGAGAAGGGCUGCUGCCUUAUGCAGCUGCUGCCCUAUGCAGCAAUGAGAGAUGGGAGUUGAGUGGAUGUGAUCCUCCUCCAUGUUUGUAUUCUUUCUCUAUCUCUAAAUAAUAUAGACUCUCUCCCGUGGAUGUAGGCGAUCUGCCGAACCACGUUAAAUAUUGUGUCAGUGUGCUUGCUUUUCGUUGAGCAAUUAUCAGUACAUCACCGGUCGGAGUUUCCCCAACAUUCAUGUACGCCUGAAAGGAGCCAUGGAAUUUCAACAAUGCCAUCUCCAAGGAGCCAUGGAACUUUAAAGUGGGAUGUCGUGUACGCCUGAAUUGUAUAGUGACAAUGGUGGAACUGAUGCGGUUGCAUAGCACCAACCAGUACUUUCCUAAUGAUUUCCUUGCGGAAAAAAUUAAGGCAUGUUGGAAAACGAUGCCACCCUAACAAUUAAUCCAAGAGUUCAAAUUCAACUUGAAUAAAAGCACGAUAAAUGGAUAAUUUAGAGGAGAAAGGAUCCAAGAACAUCAUGAAGGGAUGGUUCUAUUUUGUUACGCAACAAUCUCAACAGCUAAUUAAGAGGUUAGAUUGUAGGGUCUAAUUUCAAGUGCAAGACUCUAUUGAUUCUCAUCAUUAUAGUAAUAAAACCAUGACCAUUUUUAUUAAAUUAAGAGGAAACACAAAAUUAAACAAGAAAAUCUUAAGAGUUCAGAAAUAAAUCUAACAUUGUCGAACAGACUGUGAGCAAACCCAGAUUUGGUGGAAGAUAGAAAUAUGAAGAGAGAGCAGAAAUUGAUGGUCUCCUUGUUUUUCAUGGUCUCCUUGUUUUGCAUUUAAGGUUCGGCCAUCUAAGCUUCUCAUUGGGUUUUAAUUUCCUGAGUUAAUUUCAUCAUGGCUGGACUUGAAUAUCUCUAUAUAUACACUUAAGGCUGGGUGAGCUUGUCUCUUUAGCAGGCCUUCUUAGGCUUUUGUUCUUUCAAACAAUGUCAGCUCUAAGCCCAUUAUUUUACAGAAAAGGUAAAAUACACUUGUCAUGGCUGAUUGAAAUCGUGGAAGAAAAAACUAGAGGAAAGAUAACCGAUUGACCCCCAACGAAGACCAAUGCAGAGGAAUUUCAAAGGGGAAAAAAGGUGGCGGCUUUAUGAUGCAGUUCAUCUAAAGAUAAACCUAAUCUGAAUUAAUUGUUCGGUCUCCUUCAAAGCGAAAUAACUUUGCCAGGUUUCCUCCCAGUGACAUUACAUUAUUAAAGUUAAAAGCGCUGAAGCACAAUUCAAAGACAAUAAGUAGUAUUAAACUUAAUAAGCUAGUUCAAUGGAGGAGAAUGGUGUGCUGAAACACUAUGAUUUUCAAAAAAAUUGAAGCAUAUCAGAUCCAUGCUGCUGCAUUCGCAAGAAACGAGCACCCAUCAACAAUGUGCUAAAUGUCAAUGCAGAGCUUUAAAUCAUCUACAGAGGCUCAUGAAGAAAAUAGGCAUAAAUGAUAACAGAUAACACACCAGAGCACUCUACGUAAACUGAUAUCUUUAGAAAAUUCAAAGGCAUGAAUGAAAAAGAAAAGCGAGGAAUAUCUAAGUCAACUCUUAAUUUGUAACAGUCCACAACUUCAUGUUUGGUGUGUACUGUAAACCAUGCUCUCCACAUAAUCACGAGCUUCAUCUGCAAAAAACCAUUUUCACUUCUGGGGACAAGGGAUCAAACAAAUAUAAACCUGUUGUUGGAUUACAUUCAUAAUUUAUAUCAAGCCCUAGCUGCUGCUCGAAGGUAAGAAUUGGCUGGUUGCUCAGCACAACAUAACUGAUACAAACAAUUACUGAUACAAGCAAAGGACAAACACAAGUCACAUCAAAACAGAAAGGCUAAGCAACAAGAACACUUCUCACAGGCAAAUUGCUAAACAUGUAGUUAGCAACCAUUGAUUUGGAAUGCGACUGCUUCUCCACAGAGGAUUACAACAAAUUCAGAAAGCAGCCCACACGCUCCUGAUAAGAUCCAAUCACCUUCUGAAUCUGGACAACUUGGGAAAGUUUAUAGCCAAAAAGCAGCAGCAAGUGUCAAUGCAUUCUUCAAUGAAGUAAAACCAUCUGCGUCGCCAAUGCGGAUAUAUGCACAGUACUGCUGCAAUUGUCAACACCACAGUUAUGUAACACCCACCAAAGCUGGCAUAGAAACUGUCCAUGUCUAUGAAGCCACCAUCUCCAUUGAAAUCGUUAGGCACUCUAGCGGAUGGUGAUUCUGUUUUGUCGCAACUUUUUUGCAAUGGAGGUCCACAAAGAAGAGGAUUCCCUUUAUAACUGCUCUCAUCAAAGGUACAAAUUGAUUUUUCAUCUCCGGUGUUCUUCCUGACAAAUUAUUGUACGACACGUUGAAAACUGCUAAAAGGUCAGUUCAACGAGUUGUGCAGGAAUUCUCCCAUUCAAAUUGUUGUGAGAAAGAUCCAAGCUCUCUAUCUGCUUCAGAUUGAGAAGGAUGAAGGGAUCAAUCCAGUGAGAUUAUUUGUGACAGAUUUAGAGAAUAUAUCCCACUUAAGUUUCCCCAUUCUGUCGGGAUUUCUCCAGUGAAUCUGUUACAAGAAAGAUCCAUAACAGACAUGUAACGAAGGAUAUCGCCUUCGUAAGUGUAGAAAUUUUUCUUUGUGUAAGCUCUACAGAUAUUUUUACACUGAUCUCUGGCACAAAGUUUUGUAUAAGAUAAAAAGCCACGUUCAAAAAUUCUUUCAGGUUCCAUCAUCUUUUGAUCGUAAAGUUAACCAAGUUUUUUCAUCUGAUGCCGUAAAAUUUAAAUUGCUCAAACAUGAGGGUAACAGACCAGAAAAAUUAUUUUCUGAAAGAUCCAAUAUGCUUAAUUUCCUUAACAAGCAUAACUGAUGAGGAAGUUUCCCAUUGAAUUGAUUAGAUUUGAGAACAAAAAUGCUCAAUUCCGAAAGGCUAUCAAUCCAAUUUGGAAUGGGCCCAGUUAAGUUGUUAUCGCCGAGAUCUAAUGUCACCAACGAAGAGAGAUUAUAAAAAUCAUAUGGCAGUGGACCGCUCAAUUGAUUUCCGUAAGGUGGACAUAGCGUAAAUCUGAUGCAUGGAAGCCCAACGGUAAUGACCCAGACAGAUUGUUUUCAGAAAGAUCUAAAAAUUCAAGCCCAGAAGAAUUGAAAUAUUCUAUUGGAAUGGUACCUUCAAAAUGAUUUCUGGACAAAUCAAUUCCCUCAAGUGUUUUUGAAGAGUUCCCAUUCCCCUUGGAAGCAUGCCUGACAAAAGAUUGUUACUGAUAACCAACCACGAAAAUGAUGAUGCAAGAGAAAAGGUACCCGAUACUUGUCCUGCAAAUUUGUUUCCAUCGAGAAAGAGGUAGUCUAGGUGAGUCAUGUUGAACACAGAUGGUGGUAAUCGCCCAUUGAAGCUGUUGUUGGACAGCUUCAAAAACCACAAUGAGGAGCCUACUGUUGGCAAAUUAUGCUCAAGCAGUUCACAAGACAUGUGAUUGUUGGAAAGAUCCAAGUAUUCGAGAGAGCUCAUAUUCCCAAAACAAAGAGGAAUACAACCUGUGAGGCUGUUGUUGGCCAUCAUGAAGUUCUUCAAACGUGGAAAAAUCGAACAUAUGUUUCUUGGAACUUGACCAUGUAUGUUGUUGCCAGACAUAUCUACUGUCUGAAGGUUGGGUGUUGGAUGUUGUGGCAGCUGCAAAGGACCUAUAAAUGAGGUGUCUCUCAAAUAUAGUCGAUUUAACUUUCUAUUAUUCUCAAACAGCCAAGAUGGGAAAGGUUCUCCAACGAAUUUGUUGUGGGAUAGAUCAACAAACAUCAAAUCAUGUUGGCUAUGGAGGAAGUUUGGAAAUCCAGCCUCGAGUGGUUUUGGAGUACAGUUUGAAGCACUAAAAACACGAAGCUGGAACUUGGGAGCUGAAAGCUGAAAACUGGGUGCAGCUAUUAGCUCAUUGUUAUCGCAUUCAAAGAGCUUGAGGUUGGAGAGGUUCAUAAAUAAACCAAAUGAUAUUGGAACUUGAAAGUAGUUAUUUGAAACUGAGAGGUAUUUAAGCUGCGUAAGAUGGGUAAGGUGACUAGAGGCAAUAUUUCCCUCUAAUUGGUUGUCAGAUACAUCCAAGACUUGUAGAGAUGAUAGAUUUCCCAAACAAGGAGGGAGUACGCCCUUCAGAUUGUUUCUUGAGAGAGAUAGUUGUUCAAGAUUCUUUAGCUCACACCAGCCUGUAGAAUAUAUCAAUAUGUUCAUGUUAAGGGAAUAGGAAUAUAUCAAUUAUGUAAUUGCUAAGUACGGUUUUAAAGUUUUAGUUGAUUUUUGUUUCAUUAGCUAGGUCGGUUUCAGAUUAUAUUUAAACAACUUUGUUUUAUAUAUAUAUAUAUAUAUAUAUAUAUAUAUAUAUAUAUAUAUAUAUAUUAGAGAUUUGUUAUUUAGAUUAUUGAUAUCCAUAAUUUUUUUAAUUCAAAGUUUUCUAGAAACGAGAAAUUUUAGAAAUUGAGAAACCCUAGAUUUUAUCCUUUGCUAAAUAUAGUGUAAAGUUAGGAGUAAGCCUUCAAUUCACACCAACCUAUACAAUUUAUCU
rnacentral:lncRNA from 1 species